rnacentral:lncRNA from 1 species
UUACAAUGACAAUUUGUGCACAGGCAAAGCCGCAUCCUACCACUCGUGUUUUUGAGAAAAAUAACAUAAGCAUCACCUGAUAAGAUUAAUUAACAAAAAAAACGUUUGGGAAAACGAUAUUACUAAGCGUCAAACGGAGGAUUUCCACUAGCAUGAAGGGGGGACACGAUUAAUAGGUUAUAAAUCUAUUUUAUGUUUUACAAUAUGUCAGGGC